UUAUACGGCGAAACUGCGAAUGGCUCAUUAAAUCAGUUAUCGUUUAUUUGAUAGUACCUUACUACUUGGAUAACCGUGGUAAUUCUAGAGCUAAUACAUGCUGAAAACCCCGACUUCGGAAGGGAUGUAUUUAUUAGAUUAAAGACCAACGCCCUUCGGGGCUCCCUGGUGAUUCAUAAUAACUUGUCGAAUCGCACGGCCUUGCGCCGGCGAUGGCUCAUUCAAAUUUCUGCCCUAUCAACUUUCGACGGCUGGAUCUGGGCCAGCCGUGGUGACAACGGGUAACGGAGGGUUAGGGCUCGGCCCCGGAGAAGGAGCCUGAGAAACGGCUACUACAUCCAAGGAAGGCAGCAGGCGCGCAAAUUACCCAAUCCCGACGCGGGGAGGUAGUGACAAUAAAUACUGAUACAGGGCUCUUUUGGGUCUUGUAAUUGGAAUGAGUACAAUUUAAUUCCCUUAACGAGGAACAAUUGGAGGGCAAGUCUGGUGCCAGCAGCCGCGGUAAUUCCAGCUCCAAUAGCGUAUAUUAAAGUUGUUGCAGUUAAAAAGCUCGUAGUUGAACCUUGGGCCUGGCUGGCCGGUCCGCCUCACCGCGUGCACUGGUCCGGCCGGGCCUUUCCCUCUGGGGAGCCGCAUGCCCUUCACUGGGCGUGUCGGGGAACCAGGACGUUUACUUUGAAAAAAUUAGAGUGUUCAAAGCAGGCUUAUGCUCGGAUACAUUAGCAUGGAAUAAUAGAAUAGGACGUGUGGUUCUAUUUUGUUGGUUUCUAGGACCGCCGUAAUGAUUAAUAGGGACAGUCGGGGGCAUCAGUAUUCAAUUGUCAGAGGUGAAA
rnacentral:rRNA from 1 species